rfam:Xanthomonas albilineans GPE PC73 complete genome
AUUUACCGCCUCUGUACACUGCGGUUCCUGCGCGGUGUCCGCACCCGCCCGACAGCGACUGGCGACGUUUUGUUGGCC